rnacentral:rRNA from 1 species
UACGUAGGGGGUAAGCGUUAUCCGGAAUUACUGGGUGUAAAGGGAGCGUAGACGGUAAUGUAAGUCUGGAGUGAAAGGCGGGGGCCCAACCCCCGGACUGCUCUGGAAACUAUGUUACUAGAGUGCAGGAGAGGUAAGCGGAAUUCCUAGUGUAGCGGUGAAAUGCGUAGAUAUUAGGAGGAACACCAGUGGCGAAGGCGGCUUACUGGACUGUAACUGACGUUGAGGCUCGAAAGCGUGGGGAGCAAACAGG